GCAAGUGCAAAACGCUCUUCAACGUGAUACAAUUUAUUUGGCGAAAGAAUCACAUUUGCGACAAGUCGGAUUUUCAAGAAAAGAUUUUGAGCGAAACGGGACUUGAGUUUUGGGCGAGCGUAAGACGUACAUAAGGUACAGACGCCGGUGAUCCACCACUGUAGGCUCCACUUCUGCUAUUUCGGAGUACUCCCUUUGAUUCGGAGUCCA